rnacentral:lncRNA from 1 species
UAUAUAUAUUAGUGAUAAUUGUUUACGCACGCGUGUGGUCUACCAUACAUGUAAAUGAAUACCUUAUACUCUUAGAUAUAUGUUUUGACAACUUUUACAAGUAGAAAUAAACAUUUGAGCAUACCCAAAGACUUUGACAUGCCUAUGCUUAAAUUUAGUCAUCACAUCACAUGAGAUGAUAAUGCCCACAAAAUUUCCACUUAUAGCAAUACAUAGUUGCAUCAUACUUAUCAAUUCAGAGGCCUCUUAGUCCUCUCCCUAAUUGGAAGGCUCAUAAUCUA